rnacentral:misc_RNA from 1 species
CUAAACCUUAUUAAAUUUUUUGCGUUUCAAAAGAGCUGGGUUUUUUCAGGAUAGAUAUUAACCACUGCCUCGCCUUGCUUGCCUGCAAAAUUAACAGUUUCCGGCCGGAGAGUUGGUCUUCGCAGCAGCUAUCGGAAACUUCGAAUUUCAUAAUAGUGUGUCGUUUUUUUUCUUUUUUUCUUUCUUCUUUUUCCCCCUUAAUCGAUGGGCGAUGAGAAAUCCACGAUCGUGAUGGCGAGUAGAGACCGAGAAAGAGAUCGGGAGCUUCUUAUCCCCGUCUCCGAAUCUUUACACGAUGAUGUCGCCCCCAAAGCUUCGUCAUCUUCUUCGUCGUCGCAUCAUUCGGGACGUGAGACGUUUUACAAAGUUGUUAGGAGCUGGGCUUCAAAAAAGUUCAUGACCGGAUGUGUAAUCCUAUUCCCCAUUGCUAUCACUUUCUACAUAACAUGGUGGUUUAUUCAUUU